CAUAUCACAUAAGCGGAGGAAAAGAAACUAACAAGGAUUCCCCUAGUAACGGCGAGUGAAGCGGGAAGAGCUCAAAUUUGAAAUCUGGUAGCCUUCGGUUGCCCGAGUUGUAAUCUAGAGAAGUGUUUUCCGCGUUGGCCCAUGUACAAGUCCCUUGGAACAGGGCGUCAUAGAGGGUGAGAAUCCCGUCCUUGACAUGGACCCCCAAUGCUUUGUGAUACACUUUCAACGAGUCGAGUUGUUUGGGAAUGCAGCUCAAAAUGGGUGGUGAAUUCCAUCUAAAGCUAAAUAUUGGCGAGAGACCGAUAGCGAACAAGUACCGUGAGGGAAAGAUGAAAAGCACUUUGGAAAGAGAGUUAAACAGUACGUGAAAUUGUUGAAAGGGAAACGAUUGAAGUCAGUCAUGCUCUUUGGAUUAAGCCGUUCUGCGGUGUAUUUCAUUGAGCGGGGUCAACAUCAGUUUUGAUCGCUGGAAAAGGGCAGGAGGAAGGUAGCACUCUCGGGUGAACUUAUAGCCUCUUGUCGUAUACAGUGAUUGGGACUGAGGAACGCAGCAUGCCUUUUGGCCGGGAUUCGUCCACGUACAUGCUUAGGAUGUUGACAUAAUGGCUUUAAACGACCCGUCUUGA
rnacentral:rRNA from 1 species